rnacentral:rRNA from 1 species
AUGGAGGUGGGCGGUGGAGCGCCGGAGGAGCCGCGGCCUCGGAGUCGGAGCAGGAGGCAGCCCCACCGCCUCCGUGGCGCAUACAAGCGGCUGCUUCUGCUUCUAUCUAGGGUUUCAGUCGGCCUCCGAAUCCAGUCGCACAAAAAAAAGCUCAACAUCGACCAAGGUGAGGACAGAAUCAGCGCGCUCCCGGACCAUCUCCUCCUCGGAAUCCUCGAGCGCCUCGACCUGCGCGACGCGGUACGCGCCGGCGCAGCCUCGAGGAGGUGGAGGCACCUCCCCCACCGGCUCUCGCGCCUGCACCUCGACGUCCGCCACUUCCACGGCGCCUUUCCGGCCGCGAUCAUGGAGGAGUUCACGGCCGCGACGUGCAGGUUACUGUCUCCGCCGGCCGAGCGCGAGUGCGCUCUCAAGACCCUCGUCCUCGACUUUUUCCCUGUGUCGGACGACCUGAGCACCCUCGGACGCGCCGUCGAGGACCUUGUCACCCACGGCGAGACUGAAUGUCUUGAAUUUCACAUAUGCUCGCCGUACGAGAUCACCACUGGCCCGCAGCGUGCCGAGCUGCGGCAGCGGUUCAUGUCCUUCUCCCGUGCCUGCCCCGUCGCCUUCGGGUGGCUCACCAAGUUAACUCUCAGUGACCUCGCGUUUCGACAUUCUCAAGUCACCGACCUCAUCGCCUCUUGCGAUAGGCUCAAGCACCUUGCCCUGAGUUUCUGCUCGCUGGACCACUCGCCGCUCAAGAUUGACGCCCCGCACUCUGGGAUCCAGGAGCUCGAGUUCAUCAAUUUUGCAUGCACACGGAUCGAGCUCGUCUCUGUCCCUAAGCUUAGGAAAGUGUGCUGCCUAUCUUGGCUCUGCAAGAACCCCCCGGUGCGCUUCGGCUAUGUUCCAGAGCUUAAUGAUAUAAGUCUCCGUCCUCUUGACAAGGCAUGGCAUGCGCCAUUUGCUUUGAGCGAGUGCCUGCCAAGGAGCGCCAGGAAUCUGUCUAAUUUGUGUCUUGUUUUUUUUUUUUUGAAACGAGGCAAAGACUUGCCAUUUUCAUUGAUUAAGGAUCUAAAUAUUGCACGUUUCUCUUCUUCUCUAACUAUUUCACCUCUCUACUUGUGUUUCUUGCUGUAGAUUUGGAUUCAGCCGGAGCAUUCGAAGCACCUCACUGCCACGCUCCGCAACUUGACUUCUGUGGUGCUUCUCGGUAUCUUUCCUGAGUGUGAUCUGAGCUGGACCCUGUUUAUCCUUGAAGCUGCACCUGCCCUGCAGAAUAUCGGUGUAUUUCGACAUCCAUGUUUCAACAUACCCAAGGACAGUGCUGAGGAGGCCACCGUGGUGUGGGAAUCAUCCAAGGAUUUGAAGCACCUGAACUUGAAGUGGCUCCAGAUAAUUGGGUUCGAGGAGGAAGACAAGGUGAUAAACUACAUAAGGCUAGUCAUGGAGCGAGCUGUGGGAUUGAAGAAAAUCAUACUGCGUGGUGAACUCCCAUGUAAGAAAUGUGAUGCACUUACCUAA